UAACAGUCGACGAAAGAGGGUGGUAU
rnacentral:piRNA from 1 species